AACAUGAAACAGCCAAGAUCGUUACUAAGA
rnacentral:piRNA from 1 species